rnacentral:rRNA from 1 species
CCUACGGGAGGCAGCAGUGAGGAAUAUUGGUCAAUGGGUGUACGCCUGAACCCGCCAAGUCGCGUGAGGGAUGAAGGUUCUAUGGAUCGUAAACCUCUUUUCUAAGGGAAUAAAGUGUGGGACGUUUCCUGUUUUGUAUGUACCUUAUGAAUACGGAUCUGCUAACUCCGUGCCAGCAGCCGCGGUAAUAAGUCGGAUCCGAGCGUUCUCCGUAUUUAUUGGGUUGAAAGGGUGCGUAGGCGGCCUUUUACGUCAGCGGUGAAAGUCUGUGGCUCAACCAUAGAAUUGCCGUUGAACCUGGGAGGCUUGAGGAUGUUUGAGGCAGGCGGAAUGGGUGGUGGAGCGGGGAAAUGCUUAGAUAUCACGCAGAACCCCGAUUGCGAAGGCAGCCUGCCAAGCCAUGACUGACGCUGAUGCACGAAAGCGUGGGGAUCAAACAGGAUUAGAUACCCCUGUAGUC